rnacentral:lncRNA from 1 species
CAAUUCAGAAAAUAACCCCUGCUGAGUGCUUAAAUUUUGUUUUUUUGCAUAAGAACAAAAACAAAUUUUGUAAAAACAAAAAAUAACAAGUAAUUCUCUGCUCGUCAUUUAAUACUGUUCUGAGAAUAUCUUUCUACUUAAUUACAUAAUUAAAUAUGUAAAAAUAUUUUAAAUCUUUUCAAAUAUUACUCUAUAACAUUAGGGUAAUAGUAAUAUAAAAUUCUACUGUAAAUAUAUCCUCUAAUUAAUUUCCCAAUUCACCUACUGAUGGACAAUUACUUUUUUAUAAUUUUAAAAUAUUUUAAAUGGUGCUAUGAAGGAUAUUCUUACAAUCUUUGCUCUGUUACGUGCCUAUAAUUAUUCUGAAUAGUGUAAUUUCUGGGGCAAAGGCUAAACAUAUUUUAAGGCUUUUGAUAGCAUUGCCAAGUUUUCCUUAAGAACAUUUAUUUUAAAUAUACUCUCCACUAGCAAUACAAGUAAGCCUAUUUGUGAUGUCUUCGCCUUUAGCGUAACACAGGGAAUCAUCAUUUUUUUAAACUUUAGCAAAGACAUGACAGUGUUGUUUUACUUUAAUUUUUUAUUGUUUUAUAAAAUAUUUUAAUUUUUUACCCUUAUAGAUUCUAUCAUUAGAUAGGUCUUCCCCACUUCACAAAUAACUUUUGCAAGUAUUUUAAUUUCCCAUUUUUAAAAUCUUUUUGUGGGAGUUCCCACUGUGGUGCAGCAGAAACUAUUCUGACUAGUAUCCAUGAGGAUGUGGGCUCGAUCCCUGGCAUUGCCGUGAAGUAUGGUGUAGGUCACAGACAUGGCUUGGAUCCUGAGUUGCAGUGGCUCCGUAUCUCCUAUUUGAACCCUAUCCUGGGAACCUCCGUAUGCCGUGGGUGCAGCCCUAAAAAGAAAGAUAAAUAAAAUAAAAUAAAAUAAAAUAAAAUAAAAAUCUUAUUGUGUACAUUUACAUUUUAAAUACAUCUUGAAUUCAUUUUUAAGUUAAAAAUACUUUUUUUAGUGAUUAGCAAGUUGUUCCAACGUUUUCUGAAAUUGGGUACAAUUAUGCAAAAAAUUUUGUUAUUUGCUACACAAAGUAAAAAUUUUAACUAGUGAAAUAUAAAACUAGGCCUCAUUUUAAAGGGUAUUUAAUUGUGAAAUAGUCCUCUAAUAGGUUAGACUCUGAGUAUCAUGUUAUUAUAAAGGUCAUAGGCAUUGACUCCAGCCAGCUGUUGGUUAUGUUAUUUUUAAAAUAUUAUGUGAACAUGACCUAUGAUAACUCCCUGAAUGACAAUUCUGAAAAUUAAAUCUCCAGUAUGUAAUUUGGCUCCAGCAUGGGAGGUUUUACAUAAUUUUCUCUGUAAGAAUACCUCAUUCUGAUCUUGAAAUCAGUAACACAACCCUCAAACAUAAUUUUGAUUGUCAACUUAAUCAUUGCUGUUUCUUGACAUUUCCAAGAAAGAUAUUGUUGCUACCAUAAUUCUUUAAACAAAAAUAGCUAUCCAAUAAGAUCUAUAUGUGUAUUUUCUAAUUCACUUACAAUUUCAACUGGCCACUAGAUGGGGUCAUUAAGUGUUAACAAACUGGGUCCAAUAUAAUUUAAUGAUCUUAAAACAAAAGGUCUAUAAUGUUUUAGCAUGUCAGUGCAUGUGAUUAUUAACUCAUCUCCAUAAAACCAUUAUUUUAGCUGAAUUAGAAUGAAUGCCAAAUUUAUUAUUUAAUAAAAACUUGUGCUAGUAAAUAUUUUAAGUUAGCCUUAAAAGCUUUCUUCUCAAGAUGAGCAUACAAAACACAAUAACAAUAUUAUAUAUGUACUCACAAUAAACAAUUGAAAAACAUAAUAUUUAUGAGAUAAUCCCAUUUAGAAUAUGUACAAAAAAUAUAAAGUACUCAGGAAUAACUCUAACAGAAUAUGUGAAAAGCCUUUAUACAGAAAACUAUCAAGCAUUAUUAAACAGCAUUAAAAAGUCCAAAAAAUGAAGGGAUAUACAAUGUUCAUGGAUGGAAAGACUAAAUAACAUAAAAAUGUCAGUUUCUGCAGAUUCAUUCACAUAUGACAUUUAAUUCCAAUAGAAAUACCAAGAUAAUUUUUUCUAUAAGUUAACAAUCUAAUGCUAAAUCUGUAUAUAAUAGACUUAAAAUAAUCAAUUUGAGGAAGAACAAUAUGGGAGUAACUUGCCUUAUUUGACCAAGGGAACAAAAUAGAAG